rnacentral:lncRNA from 1 species
GUUUUUCCAAAUAGUUGAGAAAUGCCCUAAUAUAGGUGCUCCUUACCAAAGGCACCAAACUUCUUGAAGAAUAAUGUAAAAAGUUACUUUCCUUGGUAUUGACCAAGAGAAAGAAAUAUUGACUAAUAUUUUGGCUAUAAAUGGCAAGUUUGAGCAGUUGACAGGAAGUUGGGUCCCUGAAGCUUUGAAGACCAAGGAGCAAGCUUUAGAUGGUAAGUCACUGUGGUUAUGGAGCAGAGAAGUAGCUGUAUAAACGUCAUCUUGGAAAACUGUGCAGCUAAAAAAAUUUUAAAGAUAUAUUUGGGGAAAUAUUUUGGAAAUAAGAAAGUUAUCUAACUUUUAUUAUCAGAUGUGAUAUAGCUUGGUGCAGAAAAGAAAGAAAAAGAAGGGAAUGGAAAAGCAUUUCUUAAAAAAAAAAAUGAACAUCAUUGGCUGAGGCCAUGGUAAUCUUCUUCGUAUUGUUCCAAUAUAAAAAGGACUUAAAAACAGCAUACUACAGGGACACAGCCACAUCAAUGUUUGUAGCAGCACAAUUCAUAAUAGCUAAACUGUGGAACCAACCUAGAUGCCCCUCAGUAGAUGAAUGGAUAGAGAAAAUGUGGUAUAUAUACACAAUGGAAUAUUACUCAGCAAUAAAAGAGAAUAAAAUCAUGGCAUUUGCAGGUAAAUGGAUAGAGAUAAUGCUAAAUGAAGUUAGCCAAUCCCCAAAAAGCCAAAUGCUGAAUGUUUUCUCUGAUAUAAGGAGGCUGAUUCAUAGUGGGGUAGGGAGAGGGAGCAUGGGAGGAAUAGAUGAACUCUAGAUAGGGCAGAAGGAUGGGAGGGAAAAGCAUGGGGGUAAAAAAGAUGGUGGAAUGAGAUGGACAUCAUUACCCUAAAUACAUGUAUGAAGACAUGAAUGGUGUGAAUAUACUUUAUAUACAACCAGAGAUAUGAAAAAUUGUGCUCUAUAUGUGUAAUAUGAAUUGUAAUGCAUUCUGUUGCCAUAUACAACAAAUUAGAAUUUAAAAAAAGUUGGAGGUGUGCUGAGUGAUGGGAGAGAAAGUGAAGAGUCAAAAAGAACCUGAGAGGAACACGUCAAAUAGGUAAUUGCUCUCCCCGAGAAAUGGUUUCAUAUCAUUUUAUAACUAUAAACUUCUAGUUGAUUUUUUUUUUUUUUGUACUGGGGAUUGAACUCAGGGGCACUUGACCACUGAGCCACAUCCCCAGCCUUAUUUUGUAUUUUAUUUAGAGACAGGGUCUCACUGAGUUGUUUAGUGCCUCACUUUUCUGAGUCUGAUUUUGAACUCAGGAUUCUCCUGCCUCAGCCUCCCAAGCCACUGGGAUUACAGGCAUGUGCCGCUGCACCCGGCUAGUUGAUAUAUUUCUUGGAGAGGUUUUAGGUCACCAGUGCAAAAGCCAGGAGACACAGUGCUGAGUUCCAUGCCCACUCACUUGCCCCAACACUGGCUUUUUGUCAAAAAACAAACUCAGAUUUUUUUUUUCUCUACUGUCAGCACUGACCAUUGGGUAAUAUAGAAACACAAGACAUUGCGGGAGCCCAAACUGCUUUGCAGCCUCUGCACUGAGAACUGUCAGAAGCUCCUCACCACCCCAUGUUACCACCCUCCUGGGUCAAUUACUAUGACCACAAUGAGAGAAGUUUCCACUUUGGAACCCCGAUGUUGACACCUUUUUAGUACUUUGAUUUCUACAUAGUUGAUGUUCUAUCUGCUCUGUAUAUAGUAGAUAUUCUAUAGGAAUGUAGGCCUUAAUUAGAUGGGUGACUAGUUGGUUAGUACUGAAUACAGAAAUCCAAGCUGCCUUCUGAACUGCUUGCAAGCUGAACCCUGGUGCUUCUCAGACUUCAGUGUGAAUGGGAAUUACCUGGAGGCGCUUAUUAAAAUUCAGGUUCUGGGGUUGGGGAUGUAGUUCAAUGGUAGAGUACUUCUUAGCAUGGGUGAGGUCCUGGGUUCCAUUCCUAGUAUCAGAAAAGAAAAAUCAGAUUCGGAUUCAGAAGACCUGGGCUGGCUGGAGUCAUGGAGUUUGCAUUCUUAGUCUGAUGCUGCUCAAGGAAGGAUCCCUGGGUGUAGAAGGUCUGCUUGCACACAGGAGCUGGGAGCCACUAGGGACUGACCUCACCAGGAAGUAUGCAUGCACAUGUUGCAGAUUAGUGAGUUCUUCAUGGUGGAUUCAGGAAAACCAGGGAGCUAAAUGUAAUAGGGACUUCAGAGCAGGUAGACACACUCUAAACUGACAGGAGAAGCUGGAAGGCCAGGGCUUGAAGUGCAAAAUUAUAGGAGGUGGGAGAGCUAGGGAAGCCAGCAAAGCAACUAUCAGUCAGCUGCCUCUCAGAGGAGGUUAGGAGGGGAACCAAUUUGGGCAAGAAUGAGGACUAUUUUAUUAUGGAGAACUCCUUAAUUAUGCAGUUAGAGAACUGUGUGUGGUGCAUUCCAGGGCCUACACUGCUCUCAUAAGGAUUCCACUGUUAAUUUAAAAAAGAGAAAUAGCAAUGCAACUUUCUCAACUCCCACGCCAUUCACACAUUGACUUUGUGUGCCAACUCAAAGCAUACCCACUGGAAAUGAAAACAGAGUCAAAGCCAACCCUCAAACUGAAUCUUGUCAAGCCGCAGAUUUACAGAAGGACUUUGUUUUCUUUCUCUCCUUUCAAAACAAAUUUUUCUUUCUGACAUUUAAAAAAACUACAUAUUUGUUAAACCAAAAAUGCCAGGUCUCAAGUCCUUAACGACGAAGGCCCUCCGUCAGUGUUUGAUCAUUAUUAUAGGUGGUCUCGUGCACAUUUGCACAGUAUCGGGUAUGAAGACCUUUGUGAAUAUACCCACACCUGGAUGCUUCCAGAUUUGGUCCCUCCUUUUGGAAAUAUAAGCAGCCAACAUGAAUGGAACUAUUAGGCCAGAGAAUCUCAGUGGAGCCAAUGGAGAUGGUGCACCAAUGAGAUGCAAAUCUGACCCCUAAUAGGUGGCCACUCCAGGCAACUUUGUUCUGGUGGAACAGCAAACUAGAGGGCAAAGGCUUCAAAUUCUCAUGAGAGGGACUCUCUGGAAGAAAAAUAUUAUGUAUCCAACACAAAUACAUACAUCACACACACCCCUGAAACAAGAGCUUUAUGAAAUCAUAAUGACAUAGUCACCCCUGCUUGUGAAUGUUGGUCUCUUCAAAAAGUCAUUCAGACUAGACCACAUUUUUUUUUCACAGUAUUUUCAUUAACAAAAUAACUAAAUAGAACUUUUCUUUGAUCUCACAAUGUUCUAAGGUACUAUUUUAAUAAUUCCUUUUCCUUCAUCAUUCCCAUGGAAGGCACUCCUCUAGUUCCUCUCCUUACCAACACAUUUUACUCUUGCCUUUUAAACCCUGGGGAAGCAAUUAACACAAUGAUGGUAGCAUAGAUUCACCUCCACUCUCUGUGUGAUCUUGGGCCAGUUCCUUAGCCUCUCUGUGUCUCAGUUUCCUGUGAAAGGAUAAUGAUAAUAAUAAGACUGCCUGAUAGGGUGGCUGUGGGGAUUUAGCCUGCCAAUAGAGAGCACAGAGGAAGACACCUGCUACCACAAUUGUUGUUAUUUCUCAAACCCUAUCCUCUGGAGGGGGCGCCCAGCUUGAUCCCCCAACACAUGCCUUGAACAUUGGCAGCAUCUUUUCCCAUCUGCUGACACUCAUGCUACAUGCCACCUGCAUUUUUCUGACCUCUGGCAUUACCAUUUUAAGUUUUCCAAUUUGUUUACAACGCUUCUAAAAUGUAUUAGUUAACAUAAAUGAUUUCAGAAGUUACUAAGUCAACUUUAGAUAUUACUUAAUCACAAGUGGUGAUAAAAAGAAAAAAACUUCAACUUUUACCCCAGGAGAUACACACACACACACACACUCUCACACACACACACACACACACACAUAUAUGUAUAUUUUUUUUUUCCCAAAAGAAAAGUGUUUUGGACAUUGUAUUACUCAUGAACAUUCUAUCAUUCACACACUCAUUGGUGGUGGCAAUUGAAGGAAACAAUUGAAGGCCUUACAGUUCCUUUAAGCAGGGAAAAUCCAUGGGAAAAGGGCAUGCUCACUGCACAUACAGAUGGAUUUUUUUCUGGUGUUUUAUGAGUACAUUCUUUUACCAUACAAUUAAGGUCACUAUGUACCCCAGGCUAUAUUGCAGGGCUCAUGGUCAGGUGCUUUUAACAAGAUGUUUCCCUCUUCCGUUUUGCUCCAAAAUGUUGUUAUGGGGCUGGAAGCCUAGAGAAGCAUGUUUGUUAAAGGAAUGAAUAAAUUUCUUAGAUUCCAUUAAUGAAUUCUUAAUGAAUAAAUGGCAUGCACUUUGGUGCCUGUGUUUAGGGACAUUUUUUCUGGUUGCUCUGGGGACAGUGCUCUUCAACUGUGUUUCACAUAAUUGCUAUUACCCAAAAAGGGCAUCUUGAUAAGUCAGGUUUUAUGAUACCCUGUUCUCAGGCCAUUUCCCGAGUGUGCAGAGUUUCUUUCCAAACUGAUUCUAAGCAGAGUACAGACACUAUGUUUUGUUUUGUUUUUUCAUUUCAUUUAUUCAUUCUUCCAACAACAACAAAGAAAUCACCAAGCACCCGACAUUCCAGGCAUUAUGCCAGGUGACAAAAAGAAUUCCAAGAGUAUGUACAUGGGAUUUUUAUAGUUGUCAAAGUGCUUUUGGGUAAAUCAUCUCAUUUAGUCUCUAAACUCUGUGAAGCAGGUUACUUUAUUCCUAUUUUACAGAUAAACGAAAUUAGAAGAUACAAAAGAAAAAGUAAUGGGAAAAGAAAGAAGUAUUUAUUAACCGACCCAAAUCCUGAACGUUCAGUCCCAUCCAUGUGUUUACAGAAGGACAGCUCACUCAAGAGCAUGGAGCUUGCUCUAUGAGCUACCUAGUAUUUGCCCAGGCCAGCGCUGCAUGCAGAAAGUCACUUAAACUCUUUGGAGGAAGAUCAUUUUGAUGUUGGUGAGGUUUCAGGCCAUCUCUUGGAAAGAGAGAAAGAGGAUAAUAAUGAAUUCCAGGAACCAGAAGAAAAGAGAAGAUUAAAGACGCUGGGACUAGGAAGACCCAUAAGAGACUAAUGAGGUUUAUUUCUGUCUGGGGAAAAAGACAGGCCAAGAGAAAGGAUGGAUGAGGUUAAAACGAGAGGCCACAGAGUGCAGACGGCAGAGACUUAAGAUCCACGGACAGUUUCCAGGAUGCAACGAACUGGCCUCAAGAAAAAGAAACUUUCUUCUUAAAGCUUUCAUUAACAACUUCCAGCCUGCGAAAUGGUUCCAGAUUUCUGGCAGCUUUUUGAAUUAGCUUCAGUCCCAAUUUCAAAGCA